GGGCCCGCACAAGCAGCGGAGCGUGUGGUUUAAUUCGAUGCGACACGAAGAACCUUACCUAGGUUUGACAUGCAAGUAGUAGUGAAGCGAAAGCGGAACGACCCUUCGGGGAGCUUGCACAGGUGCUGCAUGGCUGUCGUCAGCUCGUGUCGUGAGAUGUUGGGUUAAGUCCCGCAACGAGCGCAACCCUUGUCGCUAGUUACACGUGUCUAGCGAUACUGCCGGUCUUAAACCGGAGGAAGGUGGGGAUGACGUCAAGUCAGCAUGGCCUUUAUAUCUAGGGCUACACACACGCUACAAUGGGCAGUACAAUGGGCAGCAAAGGGGCGACCUGGAGCGAAUCUCAUCAAAGCUGUUCGUAGUUCGGAUUGUAGGCUGCAACUCGCCUACAUGAAGCUGGAGUUGCUAGUAAACGCAGGUCAGCUAUACUGCGUUGAAUACGUUCCCGGGCCUU
rnacentral:rRNA from 1 species